UGGUCAAGUUAUUAAGGGUGCAGGGCGGAUGCCUUGGCACUAGGAGCCGAUGAAGGACGUGAUAAGCUGCGAUAAGCUUCGGGGAGUUGCACGUAAACUUUGAUCCGAAGAUUUCCGAAUGAGGAAACUCACUUAGAGUAAUGUCUAAGUAUCAUUAAGUGAAUACAUAG
rnacentral:rRNA from 1 species